GUAUGACACAAUGUUUACAUUUUAUACACUUCUCUCUACAUUUACAACCUCGGAUUCAUUUUUUUGAAAGUGGUAACUUAUUACAGCCUCAAAUUCAUAUAUAUAUAUAUAAGGAAAAUGUUUGAUCAUUCUCGAUUGUACUUAGUGCUAUUUGUGCUUGUACUAUCUCUUCAUAUCUUCUAUUAUCUUUUCGUCAUUUCAAAUCUAGAUAAAUGUUCAUCAUUCUUCCACGUAUAUUGCUUCAGUCUCCUCCAUGUCUCUGUUUUGCAACUCUCAGCUUUCUUCAUUACCCAUCUCUCUACUUCUCCGAUUCUAAGGGGAAGAGAGGGGGAUCUACAGUAUCUGGUGGGGGUUCUCAAGAACCCACACCCGCUACAGGAGAACCUGUAAUUAUAGCAAAAACUAUAACAAAUAAGUUUUCCGUGAUCGGAACCCACAACCAAAUAGCUGGUUAGCUCAAUGGCGAGGAAGGCACCCUGGAAUUUAACUGUCCAGUAAUACGCGGGAUCGAACUGCAUAAGGGUUUCCACAAAGGAUGACACAACCACAAACAAUGCUUCGAUGGAACAGAAUGUACUUGACAAUUUGCUGGAAACUAUGAUUGAUAGAGAUGAUGCUGUAUCAUCAAGACAUGCAUUUCUGGAGGCACAUAAUGGAAAUAGAAGUUUGUCAAAGGUUGUUGACAAAGUGAAAGCCGUAAUAGUUGAAACAUCAUUAAGUAAAGCGGAAAUGAAAUCUGCAAUUCAAUCUUGUACACCAGUCUUUACGCGGAGGCAACAAAUGGCUGGUAAGACAUUGAAAUCGAACUAGCAGAAGGUGAAAUUACUAGCUACAGCAGCAGAAGUGGAGAAAAGAAAUAACUCAAAGCAUGUCCUAUUCUAAACGAAAAUGGUAUCGUUGAAUUAGGAGCUUAUUUGCUAUCUAGCAAGUGUUUUAUGUUUAUUCAGCUAGCUAUAUGUAGCUUUAACGCAAAAUGCACGGGCCUCGACUAUCUAGUAUAAUACAUAACUGUGUUAUAAAAUUAAAUUUAAAUAAAGAUUACUGAACUUAUUAUUUUAA